GGAGAAGCAGGGGAUCGCAAGACCUUGCGCUUUUGGAGCGGCCGAUGCCUGAUUAGCUUGUUGGUGAGGUAAAAGCUCACCAAGGCUCCGAUCAGUAGCUGGUCUGAGAGGACGACCAGCCACACUGGGACUGAGACACGGCCCAGACUCCUACGGGAGGCAGCAGUGGGGAAUUUUGGACAAUGGGGGCAACCCUGAUCCAGCCAUGCCGCGUGAGUGAAGAAGGCCUUCGGGUUGUAAAGCUCUUUCAGCCGGAACGAAACGGUCACGGUUAAUACCCGUGACUACUGACGGUACCGGAAGAAGAAGCACCGGCUAACUACGUGCCAGCAGCCGCGGUAAUACGUAGGGUGCGAGCGUUAAUCGGAAUUACUGGGCGUAAAGCGUGCGCAGGCGGUUUUGUAAGUCAGAUGUGAAAUCCCCGGGCUUAACCUGGGAACUGCGUUUGAAACUACAAAGCUAG
rnacentral:rRNA from 1 species